AACGAACGCUGGCGGCAGGCUUAACACAUGCAAGUCGAGCGCCCCGCAAGGGGAGCGGCAGACGGGUGAGUAACGCGUGGGAAUCUACCCAUCUCUACGGAAUAACGCAUGGAAACGGGUGCUAAUACCGGAUACGUCCUUCGGGAGAAAGAUUUAUCGGAGAUGGAUGAGCCCGCGUUGGAUUAGCUAGUUGGUGGGGUAAAGGCCUACCAAGGCGACGAUCCAUAGCUGGUCUGAGAGGGUGAUCGGCCACACUGGGACUGAGACACGGCCCAGACUCCUACGGGAGGCAGCAGUGGGGAAUAUUGGACAAUGGGCGCAAGCCUGAUCCAGCCAUGCCGCGUGAGUGAUGAAGGCCCUAGGGUUGUAAAGCUCUUUCACCGGGGAAGAUAAUGACGGUAACCGGAGAAGAAGCCCCGGCUAACUUCGUGCCAGCAGCCGCCGUAAAAC
rnacentral:rRNA from 1 species